rnacentral:lncRNA from 1 species
GGUAAAGCCAACCAAGGAGGUGGGGGCAGUGCGGGAAGACUUUUGUGUGACUUGUCAAGUCAUUCAAGCUGUUGUUUAGAAAAAGGGAACCUUUUAAGGCUUUAAGCAAGGGAGUGAUACGUUUAGAUUUAGAUUUUAGCCAGUCUGCCUUGGCUGCCUUAUACUGGAGGAAGGACUAGAAGGAAAACUUGGAACCUCAGAAGCUAGUUCGGAGGUUCUGGGUGGUGUAGGUGAGAAACUAUGGGGGUAUUUUUGAUGGGAAAAGCACAAACCCUCAGUCUGGGCAUCAUUUCCCUCGAGCCUGGGAGAGAGCACAGAGUUCUGUAAGGAGGCAACACUGGACCUGAAGCUGCAAGAAGAACCAGCUCUAAUCAGAAGACAGAAAGGGAAGGAAGCACCCAUCAGGCUAUUCUGGUCUAAUCCCUAUUGUUAUAGGACCCGUGCUUCCAGAGGUAGAAGUUGUUAUGGAGAGAUGAAUAUCACUGUGGGUAGAGAGUGCUAUGGUGGAAGAAUGGCCCAUUAUAGCUGAUGAUAGCCAGAGAAGAACACACCUAUCCAGGCUCCAAGGACUGCCUUGAGAACAUGUCACAUCUGGCCAACUUCUACUGUUUGGGGUAAAAUGAGAAAAGCUGGUGGACAAAUCAUGGAAGAUUCACCUUGAAUUUGGAGAAUUAACCUCUUCUGGGGCCAUAAGUGGUUCUAUGUUAUUGGGUGAAAAUAAAAUCUAUGGCGAAAGGAAAG